GGCUACGUAGCUCAGUUGGUUAGAGCGCAGCACUCAUAACGCUGAGGUCAGGGGUUCGAUUCCCUUCGUAGCUA
rnacentral:tRNA from 1 species